GACGAACGCUGGCGGCGUGCUUAACACAUGCAAGUCGAACGGAAAGGCCCUGCUUUUGUGGGGUGCUCGAGUGGCGAACGGGUGAGUAACACGUGAGUAACCUGCCCUUGACUUUGGGAUAACUUCAGGAAACUGGGGCUAAUACCGGAUAGGAGCUCCUGCUGCAUGGUGGGGGUUGGAAAGUUUCGGCGGUUGGGGAUGGACUCGCGGCUUAUCAGCUUGUUGGUGGGGUAGUGGCUUACCAAGGCUUUGACGGGUAGCCGGCCUGAGAGGGUGACCGGCCACAUUGGGACUGAGAUACGGCCCAGACGCCUACGGGAGGCAGCAGUGGGAAAUAUUGCACAAUGGGCGGAGGCCGGAUGCAGCAACGCCGCGUGCGGGAUGACGGCCUCGGGUUGUAAACCGCUUUCGCCUGUGACGAAGCGUGAGUGACGGUAAUGGGUAAAGAAGCACCGGCUAACUACGUG
rnacentral:rRNA from 1 species